GAUCAAAACCAAGCUCUCCGGCUGUGUCUGGGCAGCACUGCUGUUGGGGCCCAGUACGGGGCUAUCUCUGCUCUCAGUAUCAACAACGACUGCUCGAGGCUCCUGUGCGGCUUUGCCAAAGGACAGAUCACGAUGUGGGAUCUCGCCAGCGGGAAGCUGCUACGAUCAAUAACAGAUGCCCACCCACCAGGAACAGCCAUUUUGCACAUCAAGUUUACAGAUGACCCAACACUUGCAAUAUGCAAUGACAGCGGAGGCUCCGUAUUUGAACUGUCAUUUAAGAGGGUUAUGGGAGUGAGGACGUGUGAGUCUCGAUGUCUCUUCAGCGGCUCCA